GCUGGAACUAAAUGUGUCCAAGCAGCAGCUCUUGUUGUGCAGGGAAUAACUCCUGUCAGCAGCAAGGUCCUGACUGAAGUGGCAGCUGCAGUUGUUCCUGUGGUGUGGGCCAGUGGAAUUGCAGGAGAGUGGAAGAGGGCAGAACCUGUAGGUAUUACCCCUACUGUGGGAUCUCUCCUGGUAAGGCAAACCCAGUAUCCUUUAAAAUCAGAAUGCGAGACUGGAUUGGUUGCAGUAACAGCUGAAUUUGCUCAUCCUGGUUUGCUUGUAGGACGUGAAUGCAAGAACCUGCCAAGAAACCAAUGACCAAGAUGAUUGAUGAGUGCAGGAUCUGAGAGAAGCACCUUGAAUGACAACCUCGAGCAGUUUCCACUAUUGGAUUGCAAAGAUGGCCUUUGCUGCAUCUGCUUGAGCAAGGAAAGCCAAGAAACCUUUGCUUUUGAAGGAGAAAACCUGGAAAGCAGGAAGGAAGAAAAGAAACCCCCUGACUCCUCCCUCAGCCCCAGACAGCCCAUGAACUGCCUUCCUGGGAAUGGUAGGACGGGGUGGACUCUGGAUUGCUCCCUCUGGAUGUGUGUGGGAUGUAGCCUGGAAAGUGCACAGAGCUGAGCCAAGGGAUUGAAAGGGACCAAGCAAGGGAGGUGAAGAAAGAAGGAAGAAGGAAGUGAGGCAGCAGGCAAGCAGCAGCAAGUUGCUGUGUAAGCAGAGGGAUAAUAACUCCUGUCAGCAGCAAGGUCCUGACUGAAGUGGCAGCUGCAGUUGUUCCUGUGGUGUGGGCCAGUGGAAUUCCAAGAAAAUGGACAAGGACAGAAGCUGUAAGAAUUACCCCUAAGCCAGAGUCUCUCCUGGUAAGGCAAACCCAGUAUCCUUUAAAAUUAGGAAGCCAAGCUGGAUUGGUUUUAUUAACAGCUAAAUUUGCUGAUCAUGGUUUGAUAGUAGAAUGUGAAUGGAAGGACCUGUAAAGAAAGGAAAUGGGAAAGAUGAUGGAUUGCUGGGAGCAGGGGCUGGCAGACAGUGGGAUGGAUGUUUGGUUGUGUUUGGGAAUGAGCAGCUUGACCUGCCCAGGGUUGUCUGUGCUGGGGGUGGGUUUGGGUCCUGUGUGGCCACAGGUCUGUGCAGCAGCUGGAGCCUGGGCAGGUCUGGGGGCUGUGGUGUGCCAGGCUGCUGAGUUUGUUUUGCCUGUUUCC